UUUAUUACAUGUUAAAGAAAACUUUGUAUAUAUUAAUAAUGAGGCUAGUAUAUUAUAUAUAUCGGACAUGGAACUUUCUUUUAUGUUAGAUUUCGUAUCCGGCUCUCAUUAGGUCGCUUUUGUAAAACAAAUAUUGAACGUUUCUCGACAAAUCGUUUCCGAACGUGCGAACGAGCUGUCACUUUGACAUGAUAAACAUUUGUUGACGUUUGAAUUUUUAAAGACAUUUAAUUAUGUUUUCGCAUUUUUAUAAAUUCAGUUAUUAUUUCUUUAUUAUAAUUAUUGUUGUGAGAUGUGUUAGUAACGCACAUUCAGUAUCUAUUUAUAAGUAAACAGCAGGCGUACGCAACAUUUGGCGAGCGAUCCAAGUUCGAUUACCAAUUUAGGACCUUGAGUGCGGUUGAGGCUGUUUGCCACUCGAUUGCUUAUUAUAAAUUUCACCGUUAUGAAAUGUUGCGUUACUGAAACGACGUAUAUUGCUAAAUGAUCUAUGUCUGACGAGAUAUUAGACCAAUAGACAUUAUAUUUUUAAUUUUAAACAAAGAUAGUCAACAAAACAUAUUUGUAUUACAAAACCAACGGGCGGAAUUACAAUGUACAAUAUUUGUGUCAACUAUGUACCCGAACAACACUAAUUACCAGGGCAACCAGUGCACUGCACAUAGAUCUGGCGUUGAACGGACAAACAUUGCAUGCCCUUAUAGACGGGACAAUUUGAGACCUUACCAUAUGGCAAGUUACUUUUUAAAGUAUAAUUAUUUAGAGAUUGGUACAGUUUUUAGCGUUA